UAAUACAGAGGUGGCAAGCGUUGUUCGGAAUUACUGGGCGUAAAGGGCGCGUAGGCGGUCUUGUAAGUCCCGCGUGAAAGCCCCCGGCUCAACUGGGGAAUGGCACGGGAAACUGCGAGGCUUGAGUUCGGGAGAGGGAAGCGGAAUUCCGGGUGUAGCGGUGAAAUGCGUAGAUAUCCGGAGGAACACCGGUGGCGAAGGCGGCUUCCUGGACCGACACUGACGCUGAGGCGCGAAAGCUAGGGGAGCAAACGG
rnacentral:rRNA from 1 species